AAACUAACGUACAUCAGCCCGCUCGCCUGAGAACGGCACGGCGUCGACAACUUCAGACAGCGGUUAAACGGAGCGCAGAGACGGUGGAAAAACUUCAUUUUUUACGGGAACUAUGUCUCUUCACAACCAUUCCCCACACGAAUCUCGCUAAUUUACUUCUGCUGGAUGUUCAGAAAGCUGGAAACGUUAGAGUGCCAUUAGUAAAUCGACGUUUGUAGCUUGUCGUUAUUUAAUUUUCCCUGUUUGUUUAAACCAGUGGUAAGUUAACGGACGCCGUUAGCUGGUGGUCAGCAGGACUGAGGAAGUGCUGUUUCAGACCGGGAUGAGCGGGAGAUGCUCGGUGUUCUCUGCCUUCUGCGGUGCACGGAAAGACUGCCACGGUGAAGCUCGUUAACCGAGUAUUACUGGAUAAAUGACUGAGCAAAGUGUGUUUGACUCCAGCGGACUAAGCCAGCGGCUGCAUGGGAAAUGAACGUGGCCGGCAAACAUCAACCCGAUCUGUUAGAGCGACCUGCCAGCCUUUUAGUACCAACAUGGACAAAAACCGGACUUGCCCUGCUUUAUGACGAAGACGCCAAUAAUACCUACGACAUCCGUUUAAAGUUAACAAAAGAAAUGUUGAUCAUACAGAAACAGGAUGUGGUCUGCUUAGGCAGUGUGGGACAUCACUUAAACCACAGAACCGUUGUACUCCGAAGACAGACAGCUGGGGGUCUUGGUUUGAGUAUCAAAGGAGGAGCUGAGCAUAAAGUGCCUGUGGUCAUUUCGAAGAUUUUCAAAGAUCAAGUAGCGGAUCAGACAGGAAUGCUGUUUAUCGGCGAUGCCGUGUUACAGGUGAAUGGCAUUAAUGUGGAGAAGUGCACACAUGAAGAAGUUGUUCAUCUCCUCCGAACAGCUGGAGAUGAAGUUACCAUCACUGUGAGGUACCUCAGGGAGGCACCAGCCUUUUUAAAGCUCCCAUUAGGCUCUCCAGGACCAUCCAGUGAUCAAAGUAGCAGAGCAUCCUCCCCACUUUUUGACAGUGGUUUACAUUUAAACGGGAACUCGAGCAACACAGCCCCGUCUUCACCCUCCUCACCCUCGGCUAAUGAACCAAAGUACGAGAAGCGUUGGCUGGAUGCCGUCUCCCUCUCCUUGUCCAUGGCCCGAGUCUCUAGACACAAAGCUGGAAGCGAUAAAUUAAGGUCAAAUAGUUUUGAAGUAUUCGCCUUAGAUGGAGUAUGCACCAAUGUUCUACAGUUUUGCACAGCAGCAGAAAGCACAGAUUGGCUUCAAGCAAUAUCAACCAAUAUCAAUGAUCUGACCCAGGAGAGUAUAAAAACAGCAAACAAAUUCUAUUCUCCUGAUGAGCAGAUCAUCCAUAUGGGUUGGGUCUGUGAGCACCUUCACGGGAGUGAUGCCAGCCAGAUUCAAAGCUACAAGUUUCUGGCAUUGAAAGGAUCCUCUCUCUACAUUCUCAGGGGCCCUCCUGCUAGUACGUCAGACUGGGCUCAAGCUGAUGCCACAUUUAACCUCUGUGAGGUUCUCUUUAAGGUUCAUAAGCUGUGGAUAGCAGAGGACUGCUGGAUCCAGACGAAGCUGUACCCGGGCCUGCAGCAGGACUGUGAGCUGCGGGACAAUGAGCCUUUCUGCUUCAGUGUGCUGGUUGGCCACGGGCAGAGCCACUGCUUCAGUGUGGAGCUGGGAACAGAGCUAGCGCUCUGGGAGAAGGCCUUCCAGAGAGCUGUCUUUAUGGAGGUGCAGAGAGUAGGCUCCAAAACCUACAUGUGCAGUAGCCAAGGGAAAAUACUGUGCUUUACAAUUGACUUUGAAUCUGGCUUCUCCUGUUCUGAGAGCGCUUCAAAGAAAGUCAUUUGGAGAUAUAAAUUCUCCCAGCUGAAAGGUUCCUCUGAUGAUGGAAAGACAAGAGUGAAACUCUUAUUCAAGAACUCAGAAAGCAAACAGAUAGAAAUGAAGAAACCGAACUGCCUGUACUCCCUUCAGGGCAGGUCCCUAAAUUCUUUCCCAUCGCUAUACUGACUCAUCUGUCUGUCAUUUCAUCAUCUCUUGUCAUCUGAGAGCAAGCACACAUUUUGAAACUCCUUCAGGACAGCACUCGGUCUACAGCGUUAUAUAGUUUUCAGUGGGCAACAUAAGCUCUUUGAACAGAAGAAGCAUCUAAAGCACUUGGAUGCAAGGCAAAACACUUUGCAGGGUGAAUUCUAAAGUAGCAGCACUCAAGAGUUAGACUCAAAGAGCUCCUGCAGUCCAGUGGGCAGCAGGGAAGCAGUCAUUAGAAACCCCAAAUUGUGGUGAAAUAAACACAAUGGAGGAGGAAAAGGAACAAAAUGAGUUGCAUUAAAACAAAGACCAGGCUGUUUGUCUGUCACUAGCUCAACUGUUUUCCCUUCUGUUCCUUCUGAAGAGAGAUGAUGAGACUGUACCAUGUGGAGCACUUCAACACCAGCCCCUCACUGCCCAAUUACGCACACGUCUUCAAGGGAAAACACUCUUUACUGAAGAGUUUGCAGUGCAGUGCUCGGGCUUUACGUCAUGUAACUUAGUGUUCUUAAAGUAACUCUCAACAGUGGUGGGUGAGCCACUGAUGCAAGUUCUAUUCAAUACCAAUGUGAGCAAGUUUGUCUUUUUUUUUUUUUUUAACUUAUGCGCACAUUAGGGAUGCUCAAUGAUAUCAGAAUUAUAUCGGUAUAGGGUAAUAAUCGAUUUUUAGAAUAAUUUGGCCGAUAUUUUAAACCGAUACUUGCAGCGAUUGCAGACCAUGCUGCCAAAAUUGUCCAACAAUGGCCACGCUACUUUAAAAUCUACUAAUUUGCAUUUUUUCAUUUUUAUUAAUUUUUUAUUAUUUUAUUUAUCCUCUUAAUUUAAAAAAGGGUUAAAGCUGUUACCUGUUUAUGUAAGAACCUGUUGGGUGAGUAAAUGUAAAUGAAACCAAAAAAAUUCAUUUCUUAUAAGAUUUUUUUUUUUUUUUCAUAGAGUUGGUUGAAAGUUAAAAUGUAAGGCAAGUAAAUAUGUUACAUUUGUUUCUGAAAGUUUACUGGGCUGUCUAGAUUCUCUAAGUGUGUGUGUGUGUACAUAUACAUGUGUAAUAUGUAUUUUAUUAAACGCAAUGUGACGAAA